AUGGCGGAGCAGGGGAAGAAGUCGGGGGAGCAGGACAAGAAGAGACCGCGGUUCUCCGAGAAGGCCGAGGGCAGCGGCGCCAAGAAGUCCAGCGCCGUGGCGGUGACCACAGUGUCACCGGCGGAGCUCGCGGUGCCGAGUCCGGUGGCCCCGAGGAGGGCGGCGCUGUCCUCGCCCAGCCCCGUUGCAAAGGCGCAGCCGGUCACCAGUCCUCUCGCCUUCAAGCCACCGGCGCUGCCGGUGCCGAGUCCGGUGGCCACGAAGACGCGGACACUGGCCGAGCUCAAUCCCGUUCCCAUCCCGAAGUCAGCCGCCACAGUGGCGGUGACCAGUCCGGUGGCCGCCACGCCACCGGCGCCCAGUCCAGCGGCAACGAGGGUGCUCGCGGCACAGAGUCCGGCGGCCACGAAGACGCCGACGCCCAGUCCAGUGGCGACGGUGGCAGUGACCAGUCCGGUGACCGCCAUGCCAUCGGCGCCCAGUCCAGCGGCAACGAGGGCGCUCGAGGCACAGAGUCCGGUGGCCACGAAGACGCCGACACCCAGUCCAGUGGCCACUGCGAAGCCGGCUGCCGUGGUGAAGCGGGAUGAAGAAGGCGCGGAACACAAUGGUGGCGCAAUGCUGGCCCUGGCGGCGGAAGAGGAGGAGCCUGCCAAUUUGGACUUGCCCAAGAAAUUGUUUCACUGCGCGGCCUGUCGUGCCCCCCUCAAGCCUCCGGUGUUCAAGUGCGAAAAGGAGCAUUUCGUGUGCUGCGCUUGCGGCGGCGGCGGAGACGGCAGAGCGAACAGGCACUGCGGUCCAUGCGGGCAUGACGUCUCCUACACCCACUCCGAGUUCAUGGACGGCGUGGUCGGCGCCUACAAGGUGCCGUGCCCGUACAAGCAGCACGGCUGCGCGAGCUCCAUCGUGUACCACGCGGCGGCGGACCACAAGGCCAAGUGCGCGCACGCGCCCUGCUACUGCUUCGAGUGCAUGCCCCCGUUCGAGGGCUCGCCAGCGGAACUCCUGCGACACCUCACGGCGCCGUCCGGCAAACACUCCUGGCUCACGGACAAGAUCAAAUACGAGUCUAGCCACCCGCUCGUCGUGCAGGCGCCGUCGGGGGAUUACCGCUGCCUGCUGCUCGCGGAGGACGGCAGCGUGUUCCUCCUGGCCGUGGGCGCCGGCAGGGGCCCGGCUGGGCGCCGCCCCGUCAACGUCGUGUGCGUCAGGGGCAACGCCGACGCCGACUCGAGGCCGCUGUACACGGGCGUGCUCUGGGUGGAUGGUCCUCCGGCCACCGCGGGCCAUCUUAGGGGCAGCGUCCAGGUGAAAGGGGACGUGGCGAGCUGCUCCGUCCCGGGCGAGGUGGACAUGGAACAGGGCUGGCUCCAUGCGCAUGUCAACCCCAACAUGCUGCACGGAGAGUCCGGCGAGGUUCAUCUGCGCCUCCGUAUAACCAGAUUCCCAUGA
rnacentral:rRNA from 1 species